CAGACUAGAGUGCGGUAGGGGAGAUUGGAAUUCCUGGUGUAGCGGUGGAAUGCGCAGAUAUCAGGAGGAACACCGAUGGCGAAGGCAGAUCUCUGGGCCGUAACUGACGCUGAGGAGCGAAAGCGUGGGGAGCGAACAGGAUUAGAUACCCUGGUAGUCCACGCCGUAAACGUUGGGCGCUAGAUGUAGGGACCUUUCCACGGUUUCUGUGUCGUAGCUAACGCAUUAAGCGCCCCGCCUGGGGAGUACGGCCGCAAGGCUAAAACUCAAAGGAAUUGACGGGGGCCCGCACAAGCGGCGGAGCAUGCGGAUUAAUUCGAUGCAACGCGAAGAACCUUACCAAGGCUUGACAUACACCGGAAACGGCCAGAGAUGGUCGCCCCCUUGUGGUCGGUGUACAGGUGGUGCAUGGUUGUCGUCAGCUCGUGUCGUGAGAUGUUGGGUUAAGUCCCGCAACGAGCGCAACCCUCGUUCUAUGUUGCCAGCGCGUUAUGGCGGGGACUCAUAGGAGACUGCCGGGGUCAACUCGGAGGAAGGUGGGGAUGACGUCAAAUCAUCAUGCCCCUUAUGUCUUGGGCUUCACGCAUGCUACAAUGGCCGGUACAAAGGGCUGCGAUACCGUAAGGUGGAGCGAAUCCCAAAAAGCCGGUCUCAGUUCGGAUUGAGGUCUGCAACUCGACCUCAUGAAGUCGGAGUCGCUAGUAAUCGCAGAUCAGCAACG
rnacentral:rRNA from 2 species